rnacentral:rRNA from 1 species
CUGGCUCAGAUUGAACGCUGGCGGCAGGCCUAACACAUGCAAGUCGAGCGGAUGAAGGGAGCUUGCUCCUGGAUUCAGCGGCGGACGGGUGAGUAAUGCCUAGGAAUCUGCCUGGUAGUGGGGGAUAACGUCCGGAAACGGGCGCUAAUACCGCAUACGUCCUGAGGGAGAAAGUGGGGGAUCUUCGGACCUCACGCUAUCAGAUGAGCCUAGGUCGGAUUAGCUAGUUGGUGGGGUAAAGGCCUACCAAGGCGACGAUCCGUAACUGGUCUGAGAGGAUGAUCAGUCACACUGGAACUGAGACACGGUCCAGACUCCUACGGGAGGCAGCAGUGGGGAAUAUUGGACAAUGGGCGAAAGCCUGAUCCAGCCAUGCCGCGUGUGUGAAGAAGGUCUUCGGAUUGUAAAGCACUUUAAGUUGGGAGGAAGGGCAGUAAGUUAAUACCUUGCUGUUUUGACGUUACCAACAGAAUAAGCACCGGCUAACUUCGUGCCAGCAGCCGCGGUAAUACGAAGGGUGCAAGCGUUAAUCGGAAUUACUGGGCGUAAAGCGCGCGUAGGUGGUUCAGCAAGUUGGAUGUGAAAUCCCCGGGCUCAACCUGGGAACUGCAUCCAAAACUACUGAGCUAGAGUACGGUAGAGGGUGGUGGAAUUUCCUGUGUAGCGGUGAAAUGCGUAGAUAUAGGAAGGAACACCAGUGGCGAAGGCGACCACCUGGACUGAUACUGACACUGAGGUGCGAAAGCGUGGGGAGCAAACAGGAUUAGAUACCCUGGUAGUCCACGCCGUAAACGAUGUCGACUAGCCGUUGGGAUCCUUGAGAUCUUAGUGGCGCAGCUAACGCGAUAAGUCGACCGCCUGGGAGACGCCU